UACGAAGGGGGCUAGCGUUGCUCGGAAUCACUGGGCGUAAAGCGCACGUAGGCGGAUCUUUAAGUCAGAGGUGAAAUCCCAAGGCUCAACCUUGGAACUGCCUUUGAUACUGGGGAUCUCGAGUCCGGAAGAGGUGAGUGGAACUGCGAGUGUAGAGGUGAAAUUCGUAGAUAUUCGCAAGAACGCCAGUGGCGAAGGCGGCUCACUGGUCCGGUACUGACGCUGAGGUGCGAAAGCGUGGGGAGCAAACAGG
rnacentral:rRNA from 1 species